UUCAAUUGAAAUAAAUUCUUUCAUUUUUCAAUGGAUUUUUACGUUCUCUUUUUUUCUUGUACUCUUUCUAGCUAGAUUUUUCAGGAGUAGAUAUCACUGAUAUUCAAGUGAUUACAGAGGAUAAUGCUCCAAAUAAUCUGUACACCUUCUGGAACAAUACCAAUAUCGAUUUGACUGAUGGCCUCGAUUUCAAGACAAGUGGUCUAAUCCCCGUCAACGUCACUUAUCUCAAUCAUACAGAAUUCACCUAUAAGUUCGUUGUUAUCAAUGGCAAUAAUACACCUAAAACAGAUACCGUUCGCAUAUUCAUAUAAAACAGACAAACUACGUGGCAACAUACCAUUCAAUUUUAGCGAAGAAAAAAAUUUUAUGAUAGAGAUGAAUAAAUUCACGGUUAUGUGUAAGAGACAAUAAUUAUUAUUAUUUAUAUUUUGAAUUGUCGCGAUUGAAGAUAUUAAUUAUAAAAAGUAUAACAAUGAAUAUAUUAUUUAAAUUAAAUCAUGGAAUACAUUAGUAUUUAACACUUAACAUGUUAAUGAGACAUUGUAUUUUAUUAUUAAUUUUUCUAUUGUAUGCUUGUAAUACAACCUGGCCAGAAUAAUAUUGAUCGUAGUUCGACAUAAUCCUCGAUAAUGAUUCUCUUCAAAAGCAUUUACAAUAACAUUAAGCCGAAUGAAAUAGUCAAAAGUCAGAUUAUCUUCUGUGGCUAUGCCUGGCCACAAUAUUUGCUUAUACCUAAGGAAGAAAAACUGAACACGCCAUGGAUCUUUUUAUCAUGAUAUUUUAUGAGAUUGGUUAUGCAGUAGGUUUUUUUUUUUUGUAUAUGCUUAUCGUCGAACAUUUAUUAAUCGUAUUUAUUGCGCAAAUGAAUCGAUAAUAUUUUCGAUAUAUUUAAACAGUAAUAAUUAUGGAAAAAUUACCAAGCUAAUAUUCAUUUAUUGUAAAUUAAUUGUUACAUCAUAUAUAAUUGUUACAUCAUCAUAUAUGUAUGUAUGUAUGUAUGUAUGUAUAUAUUUAGCCAUUGCUAUUUAACGAUAAGAGGCGGUCAAGCGAACGCAGCAUCAUUAUCAUUGAAUUAAUAACCGAAUUACAACGUACCUUUUGCAUGCACAAUAGAGCCCUACGUUUACGUUGAUCCUUUUGAUUGAUGGAGUACGGUAAAACCCUUUGUGCAGCUCCAUCAAACGUGCAUAUUUAAUCGUUCGUAAAAUGCUCACUAUCUCUUUCUCUUUAUUUCUCUUUCGUUAAGUUAUAUUUGAAAUAUUUAACAUUUAAAAUCGAUGGCAAUAUAGGACAAGUUUAUGGAGUGACUUUAUUGAUGAAUUUAAUCUAGUUUUAUAUCACUUGGAUCUCUGGAUCACGUUUCUUUAAUAAAAUUUGAUUGAAUUGUCUCUCUUAACGUUAAAACGUUCUUGCUAAGUCGGUUUCUAUUGAAAUACUAUCGGAGGAUUGUAUUUGAAAGGAAUUUUAUUCACUUUGAUCGUUAUAGGUGGAACAGGAUGAUCCUACUAGUUACAAGGAUGGCAUGAAUUACUGCGGAUAGAAGAACAAAAAAUAUCCGGAUCUACGCCCCGUUUGAUCGCAACGCAUAUGCUGAUGUUAAUUAUUUGAAAUCAUUCCUUACCGUCGAUAUGGCUACUACUAUGAUAACCAUAAACUUCAAAGAUAUGAUCGUACCGAAGAAAAACUAAAUCGGUUAUCGGUUCACCCUAUAUAUCUGUUGUUACUCACGGAAACAUGAUGAAAAGUUGAUAAAAUUAAAGCGACCGGAAAAGAAAAUUAAUAGCCAGUUUUGUAGUUCGUUCGACGAGAACCAGUGGAAAAUGAAGCAAAUAUUGCGCCUGCAGAUAUGCAACCCUUUACGCAAGCCUGUAUGCACCAGCCGUAUGUGCGGUUGCAUAUUUCCGGGCGCUCGACCAAGCACGAAAAUGUGGGAAAAUCAAAUAGAGAGAAAGAUAUUGCUAAUCUUUAUUUUCUGCAUAUCCCGGCGAUACGUAUGUACGUAAUGUAACGACUUGAAUGUAUAAGAACGCAUACGAAGUUGAAUAUAAAAAGUUACAUUUAAAUAAUUCAGCAAGAUGUUCGAGGACACGAGUCAUAUAC